CCGCACUGUUCGUAAUCUGGCUCUUCUUCAGUAUGAGUAUGUGGUUCCAUUCCAGUGCUAUAGUGACCCCAUUGAGGCAGGGGAGCAGUGGCUGUCUGUGCUUGCUCCCUGUUCACUCUCUGGAGACAUCU